UCCAGUUUCAAUUUGUUUCAUUUUCAAGCAAAAGCUGAUGAAAUUGCAAAGCUAAUGAAUGAGAAUAAGCAACUUAAAGUUGUGAUUGGGGAUUUGAAGUGAGACUUGAACGGCCAAGAGGCAAAGCGAGAUGAACUACAACUAAGUGGUUAAUUGUCCCUUAAAAACUGAGCAUUACAGUUUCCUCGUUGUUCACGUAUACCUCCCACGACCAAACAGUACCCUUUCCCCUCUGGUGAGUUUGUUUAUGAGUUUGUUUAUCUUUAAAUAAAUAUUCCUUCAAAAGCUGGAUUCGCUCUUGUUUGGAGUUUGUCAUGAGUUUAAAGAAGAAGGCUAUUUAACUGUCAGUUAUUUAUUCUCUGCCCCUUGUUCUUGAUACCUGAUGCAUGUAUGAAGUCAUUGAUUUCAACUUUCUAGAUGAUUUAUGCAUUGUUUUUU